CUUCAGCGAACCGAGCCACAGUGGACGGUCGGCGGGCCGGUCCUGGCCGUAGGCGGCGAGAACGGCCCCCGCCUC
rfam:Streptomyces clavuligerus ATCC 27064 chromosome, whole genome shotgun sequence.